CAUCAGCUUCAGCAGCAGUAGCAAUUAGCUACUGCUGUGAGCAAAUCAGCAGUAAAAACUGCUGCUGCGGGAAAGAAAAGAAAACAGGAAAGAAAGAAAAGAAAGAAAGAAAGCAAGAAAGAAAGAAAAGAAAGCUGUAGGGAAAAGAAAGAAAAGAAAGAAAGAAAAGAAAGUAAGUAAGGAAGAAAGAAAGAGAAAGAAAUAGAAGAGAGGAAAAAAUGAAAGAAAGAAAAAUGAGAAAGAAAGAGUUGAAAGAACUCGAUGUAAUUGUGAAAUUGCAAUUGCAUUGAAAGUCGAAAUUG
rnacentral:lncRNA from 1 species